rnacentral:rRNA from 1 species
UGGGGAAUAUUGCACAAUGGGCGCAAGCCUGAUGCAGCCAUGCCGCGUGUAUGAAGAAGGCCUUCGGGUUGUAAAGUACUUUCAGCGAGGAGGAAGGCGUUGUGGUUAAUAACCGCAGCGAUUGACGUUACUCGCAGAAGAAGCACCGGCUAACUCCGUGCCAGCAGCCGCGGUAAUACGGAGGGUGCAAGCGUUAAUCGGAAUUACUGGGCGUAAAGCGCACGCAGGCGGUCUGUCAAGUCGGAUGUGAAAUCCCCAGGCUCAACCUGGGAACUGCAUCCGAAACUGGCAGGCUAGAGUCUUGUAGAGGGGGGUAGAAUUCCAGGUGUAGCGGUGAAAUGCGUAGAGAUCUGGAGGAAUACCGGUGGCGAAGGCGGCCCCCUGGACAAAGACUGACGCUCAGGUGCGAAAGCGUGGGGAGCAAACA